rnacentral:rRNA from 1 species
AGCUUGCUCUUCGAUUCAGCGGCGGACGGGUGAGUAAUACCUAGGAAUCUGCCUGGUAGUGGGGGACAACGUUUCGAAAGGAACGCUAAUACCGCAUACGUCCUACGGGAGAAAGCAGGGGACCUUCGGGCCUUGCGCUAUCAGAUGAGCCUAGGUCGGAUUAGCUAGUUGGUGAGGUAAUGGCUCACCAAGGCUACGAUCCGUAACUGGUCUGAGAGGAUGAUCAGUCACACUGGAACUGAGACACGGUCCAGACUCCUACGGGAGGCAGCAGUGGGGAAUAUUGGACAAUGGGCGAAAGCCUGAUCCAGCCAUGCCGCGUGUGUGAAGAAGGUCUUCGGAUUGUAAAGCACUUUAAGUUGGGAGGAAGGGCAGUAAGCGAAUACCUUGCUGUUUUGACGUUACCGGACAGAAUAAGCACCGGGCUAACUCUGUGCCAGCAGCCGCGGUAAUACAGAGGGUGCAAGCGUUAAUCGGAAUUACUGGGCGUAAAGCGCGCGUAGGUGGUUCGUUAAGUUGAAUGUGAAAUCCCCGGGCUCAACCUGGGAACUGCAUCCAAAACUGGCGAGCUAGAGUAGGGCAGAGGGUGGUGGAAUUUCCUGUGUAGCGGUGAAAUGCGUAGAUAUAGGAAGGAACACCAGUGG